rnacentral:rRNA from 1 species
CAGUCGCCACGGGAAUACAGAGGGUGCAAGCGUUAAUCGGAAUUACUGGGCGUAAAGCGCGCGUAGGUGGUUUGUUAAGUUGGAUGUGAAAGCCCCGGGCUCAACCUGGGAACUGCAUCCAAAACUGGCAAGCUAGAGUACGGUAGAGGGUGGUGGAAUUUCCUGUGUAGCGGUGAAAUGCGUAGAUAUAGGAAGGAACACCAGUGGCGAAGGCGACCACCUGGACUGAUACUGACACUGAGGUGCGAAAGCUUGGGGAGCAAACAGGAUUAGAUACCCCCGUAGUCCCUGUCUCUUAUAC